CGUCCCCAGGCCUGGCUCCCCGAGUAGCUUCCCUGUGCUGAUCAUCCGUCCGGGUGCAUUUCUCAGUGCCGGGGGCCUUGGGUGGGGGCCAGGCCUCAAAUAUGCAGAGGGACCCGGUGGGCUACAUCCCCAUCAGCCCUGGCCCCUGGAAUGAGUCAGGGCCCAGGGGAGAAUGGAGCCAAUCAGGGGCACCUGGACCCCCUGCCUGCCAUGUGGCAUGGCCGUCACUCACUCCCCACCCCUGCCCUACUCCUAAGGGUAGAAAAUUCCAGGGUUCCACGCCACUGACAGCUCAGCCACUCGAGGCCCCUGGCAGCUGCCCGCCCCAAACCCGCCCUGGAGCAGAAAGUGCCUUUAUCUCAGCCGUCCGCAGGCUGCUCGGCCAGGUGUGGGGACAGGCUGGAAUGAGGGAGGCGUCUUCAUUUCCCCGCUCCCCCCACACCACCCCUCCCAUAGGGCUGCAGGUGCUGCUGAUGUGCUGGGAUCUGACUGAGGAUAAAAAGGAAGGAAAGACGACCCCCACCCCCUUGCCACCCAUUUUUGAAAAGGUCCAAGCGAGUGAGUCUGGUGGAGAGCCUGAGGGAGGGAGCCAUGGAAGGUGCCAGAAGGAAGGUUGGCGGGGGCACGUGUGGGCUGUGGCUUGGGGUGGUCAUAGUGGCCUGAGCUGCCCAGUGCCUGCCCCACCCAAGUGACCAGGGAAGUGUGUGUGUGUCCAUGUGUGUGUCCGUCCGUCCGUACAGUGUCUGGUUUGGCCCAAGACUGGGCUGUGGUUACAUUAGUGCCCAGCCAGCCACCCCCGCCACUCACCCCUCCUGGCCCAGGCCUUGCUGACUCUGUGACCUGGGUGGGUUGGAGGCCUGGUGAGCCUGACUCCUUGUCCUACCUGGGCCUGGGGCCCUCCCACUAGAGCCCACGGUAAUGACCCCCUAGGAAGGAGAGGCAGGGUCAGGGCUGCAUAGUCCACAGUGAGCUGAAGAGCAAGGUUUGUGGCAGCAUGGCCUGGCCCCUCACCUUCCAUCCCCAGGAGGGGACCCAUGGGGGCUGCCUUUGUGGUGCACAGCAGACCAAAGUCCCCUCCUGCUUCCUGUUCCCUGUCUCACUCCUGGGGAGAAGGAGGGGCCUGAUGGGACUCCACAUGGGUGCGCCUAUCACUGGGUGCAUCUGCAGGUCCCAGGCUGGCUGCUCGCUGCCAGAAGAAGGGCAAUGGGAAGGAGUGUGAGUGUGCCUGGAAGUCGGGGCAUUGGGUGUCUGACUCCCUCCCCAUCCAAGAGAGGAAGGACUCCCCACCAGCCUCAUUGGCGGGACAGUUUACUUGCCAACUUGCCAUGUUUUUGCCAAAACCAAGAUUUUGAAGGAAAUGAGUGGCACCAGGCCAUGUGGCCCUCCCAGCCUCAGUGUCACUUGGUGGCAGGGUGGGGUGGGGGGUGGGCGGUAGCAUCCCAGCCUUGAGAUGCUUCACUGUCCUUCUCUGUAACCAGACCUUGAAAAUUGUUCGUUUCAUCAGGCUCUGAUCCUCAACGGCCUUUUGCUACGUGCCUCCCAAGAAAUUUGUCUCUUUUUGUAUAAACUACAAAAUGUUGAAAAUGUAUUUCCUGAAAUAAAUGUUUCAAAUGCAGAAACCCAGAA